rnacentral:lncRNA from 1 species
UUUCGCUCACUAGCUUCAAAUCAUGCUUGAAACUGAUUGUUUUGUUAAUAAUACUAUGAACCCUUUUUAAAAUAUCCUCACAAAUCAUCACCCAGAUUUCAAUAAUGAUAAUUUGUUGUUACAAGCAAUUGAUUCUUCAUCUUCCGGCACCGGCGUUCACACUCGACCCAUCGCAGUUGCAUUCUCCCUUCUUCCCUCCCAAAUCUAGCUUCUCUUCGCUCUUUAAUGUUCCAUUUGACAAUAGGUUCGAUUUGGAUUGUGAACCAAUUUCUUAACAAAUUCGAAUUCCCAUUAUGGUUCUGAUUUUGCUGCUACCCAUUUUCUACCAAUUUAUGAUAACAUAGAAAACUCAAUUGGAGGUGGGUUUAGUCCAAUUGGGUACAAUGGAU